AGAGUUUGAUCCUGGCUCAGGACGAACGCUGGCGGCGUGCCUAAUACAUGCAAGUAGAACGCUGAAGAGAGGAGCUUGCUCUUCUUGGAUGAGUUGCGAACGGGUGAGUAACGCGUAAUCAACCUGCCCUUCAGAGGGGGACAACAGUUGGAAACGACUGCUAAUACCGCAUACGAUCCAACCUCGGCAUCGAGGAUGGAUGAAAGGUGGCCUCUAUUUAUAAGCUAUCACUGAAGGAGGGGAUUGCGUCUGAUUAGCUAGUUGGAGGGGUAACGGCCCACCAAGGCAAUGAUCAGUAGCCGGUCUGAGAGGAUGAACGGCCACAUUGGGACUGAGACACGGCCCAGACUCCUACGGGAGGCAGCAGUGGGGAAUCUUCCGCAAUGGACGAAAGUCUGACGGAGCAACGCCGCGUGAGUGAUGACGGCCUUCGGGUUGUAAAGCUCUGUUAAUCGGGACGAAAGGUCCUCUUGCGAAUAGUUAGAGGAAUUGACGGUACCGGAAUAGAAAGCCACGGCUAACUACGUGCCAGCAGCCGCGGUAAUACGUAGGUGGCAAGCGUUGUCCGGAAUUAUUGGGCGUAAAGCGCGCGCAGGCGGAUCAGUCAGUCUGUCUUAAAAGUUCGGGGCUUAACCCCGUGAUGGGAUGGAAACUGCUGAUCUAGAGUAUCGGAGAGGAAAGUGGAAUUCCUAGUGUAGCGGUGAAAUGCGUAGAUAUUAGGAAGAACACCAGUGGCGAAGGCGACUCUCUGGUCUGUAACUGACGCUGAGGCUCGAAAGCGUGGGUAGCAAACAGGAUUAGAUACCCUGGUAGUCCACGCCGUAAAC
rnacentral:rRNA from 1 species